rnacentral:rRNA from 1 species
ACGCUCGACACCUACGGGAGCAGCAGUGGGGAAUAUUGCACAAUGGGGGAAACCCUGAUGCAGCGACGCCGCGUGAGCGAAGAAGUAUUUCGGUAUGUAAAGCUCUAUCAGCAGGGAAGAAACUGACGGUACCUGACUAAGAAGCACCGGCUAAAUACGUGCCAANNCGCGUAUAUGNGCGGCGUGNGAGNG